rnacentral:misc_RNA from 1 species
GCUCAGCCCGAUCAGUUCGACGGCGUGGGUCCGGCCGCGCAGCGUAUCGCUCGGCGGGCACGGCUUCAGCCGCGCGAUCAGACAGGCGAUCUUGCUGGUGCCAAUGUCGAGCGCGGCGACAAGCGCCGUCUUGUUCGGCGGCAUCUGCCGGGUCUUCGGGGUCUGGACGCCAUCGAGACUGGUCAUGCGCUUCCAGCCUUCUUCGGU